UGCCUUGGGUGUGACAGGCACUGCAUUGAACCAGAUUCUCUUCCUCUUUCGCAGGGGAAAGCCGGUUUGCCUGGCCCCCUCGGGCUGGAUGGUGCUCCUGGAAUUCCCGGGCCAAGGGGAGAAAAGGGGGAAGCAGGGAUCGGCAUUCCAGGCACACCUGGCUUUAAGGGAGCAGAAGGAGGAAAGGGGGAAAUGGGACCACCCGGAGCACAAGGACAAAAGGGUGAACCAGGAUUGCCUGGAGAAGAAGGACUGACUGGCCCAAAGGGUAAAAAAGGCCAAGCAGGUGUCAAAGGGGAGAAGGGGGAGCCUGGAGAAAUGGGGCCGAAGGGACUUCAAGGAAUUGCUGGUCUUCCAGGAAUGGUGGGGCAGAAAGGAGACCAAG
rnacentral:lncRNA from 1 species